rnacentral:rRNA from 1 species
CAGCAGCCGCGGUAAUACGUAGGGUGCGAGCGUUGUCCGGAAUUACUGGGCGUAAAGAGCUCGUAGGCGGUUUGUCGCGUCGUCUGUGAAAUUCUGCAGCCUAACUGUAGGCGUGCAGGCGAUACGGGCAGACUUGAGUACUACAGGGGAGACUGGAAUUCCUGGUGUAGCGGUGAAAUGCGCAGAUAUCAGGAGGAACACCGGUGGCGAAGGCGGGUCUCUGGGUAGUAACUGACGCUGAGGAGCGAAAGCGUGGGUAGCGAACAGGAUUAGAUACCCCCGUAGUCCCUGUCUCUUAUAC